UAACACUUAUUUAAAAGUGCUAUUAAUAAGCAAUUAAAAAAACACAUUGCCCCAUAUGUGAAAUUUCAUUUGGCGCCAUAUGAAAUAUAUAACUAGGCGCCAAAUGAAAAUAAGAGACACGGAAGCACACAGUAAACUAGUCUCAACCUCCGAACCCCUAGCCUCCAUUGAAUCCCUAAUUUCUACUUUCGUCUCUUUGCCUCUCUUUCUUUCUUUCUUUCUUUCAUCUCUUUGCCUCUCUUUGCUUCUCUCUGCUUCUCUUUCUUUCUGGUUUCCUAGUCUCUUUCUUGCUUCUCAGCUUCUCUUUCUUUCUCUUUUUUUUUCUUCUACACAAUCACGUUAUUCUCCUCCACUCACUCUCGUCUACCCAACCACUCACUCACUAAUUUCUGGUUUCGUCUCGUCAUUCUCUGCCUCAUGCGAGUCUCUGAAGCACACGACGUCGGUGAGAGCUUCCAGAGGACACAACGGAGGUCAUUUUUCUGGUUGUCUCGUCUAUCUCUGCCUCACAUAAUGAUUCUCCCCUGCUGGAAGCAAGAACAUCUUUGCGAGGUGAGUUUUUUUUAUAAAAAUUUCAUAUAAUCAAUAUAUAAAUAUAGGGUGAACUUCUAGGGUGAUUUAUAAUCUAAUUUCAUUUUUUUUAUAUUAUAUUCAAAGCUAGAGAAAUAACAAAACCUGUGUGCAUACAACACAUAUACAUAUAUAUAGUAGCAUUUUGUGUUUCAUCUCGAUUUUGUGUUUCAUCUCAAGGCUUUAGCGCCCCUGGCCGUUCAUAUCCAUGAUCAUCAGCGUUCCAUGGA